rnacentral:rRNA from 1 species
UUAAGCGACUAAGCGUACACGGUGGAUGCCUAGGCAGUCAGAGGCGAUGAAGGGCGUGCUAAUCUGCGAAAAGCGUCGGUAAGCUGAUAUGAAGCGUUAUAACCGACGAUACCCGAAUGGGGAAACCCAGUGCAAUACGUUGCACUAUCGUUAGAUGAAUACAUAGUCUAACGAGGCGAACCGGGGGAACUGAAACAUCUAAGUACCCCGAGGAAAAGAAAUCAACCGAGAUUCCCCCAGUAGCGGCGAGCGAACGGGGAGGAGCCCAGAGUCUGAAUCAGUUUGUGUGUUAGUGGAAGCGUCUGGAAAGUCGCACGGUACAGGGUGAUAGUCCCGUACACCAAAAUGCACAGGCUGUGAACUCGAUGAGUAGGGCGGGACACGUGACAUCCUGUCUGAAUAUGGGGGACCAUCCUCCAAGGCUAAAUACUCCUGACUGACCGAUAGUGAACCAGUACCGUGAGGGAAAGGCGAAAAGAACCCCGGCGAGGGGAGUGAAAUAGAACCUGAAACCGUGUACGUACAAGCAGUGGGAGCACCUUCGUGGUGUGACUGCGUACCUUUUGUAUAAUGGGUCAGCGACUUAUAUUUUGUAGCAAGGUUAACCGAAUAGGGGAGCCGUAGGGAAACCGAGUCUUAACUGGGCGUCUAGUUGCAAGGUAUAGACCCGAAACCCGGUGAUCUAGCCAUGGGCAGGUUGAAGGUUGGGUAACACUAACUGGAGGACCGAACCGACUAAUGUUGAAAAAUUAGCGGAUGACUUGUGGCUGGGGGUGAAAGGCCAAUCAAACCGGGAGAUAGCUGGUUCUCCCCGAAAGCUAUUUAGGUAGCGCCUCGUGAACUCAUCUUCGGGGGUAGAGCACUGUUUCGGCUAGGGGGCCAUCCCGGCUUACCAAACCGAUGCAAACUCCGAAUACCGAAGAAUGUUAUCACGGGAGACACACGGCGGGUGCUAACGUCCGUCGUGAAGAGGGAAAUAACCCAGACCGCCAGCUAAGGUCCCAAAGUCAUGGUUAAGUGGGAAACGAUGUGGGAAGGCACAGACAGCCAGGAUGUUGGCUUAGAAGCAGCCAUCAUUUAAAGAAAGCGUAAUAGCUCACUGGUCGAGUCGGCCUGCGCGGAAGAUGUAACGGGGCUAAACCAUGCACCGAAGCUGCGGCAGCGACGUUUAGGCGUUGUUGGGUAGGGGAGCGUUCUGUAAGCCGUUGAAGGUGACCUGUGAGGGUUGCUGGAGGUAUCAGAAGUGCGAAUGCUGACAUAAGUAACGAUAAUGCGGGUGAAAAACCCGCACGCCGGAAGACCAAGGGUUCCUGUCCAACGUUAAUCGGGGCAGGGUGAGUCGACCCCUAAGGCGAGGCUGAAAAGCGUAGUCGAUGGGAAACAGGUUAAUAUUCCUGUACUUGGUGUUACUGCGAAGGGGGGACGGAGAAGGCUAGGCUGGCCGGGCGACGGUUGUCCCGGUUUAAGCGUGUAGGGGGAGUGACCAGGUAAAUCCGGUUGCUUAUCAACCCUGAGGCGUGAUGACGAUGCACUACGGUGCAGAAGCAGUUGAUGCCAUGCUUCCAGGAAAAGCCUCUAAGCAUCAGGUAACAUUAAAUCGUACCCCAAACCGACACAGGUGGUCAGGUAGAGAAUACUCAGGCGCUUGAGAGAACUCGGGUGAAGGAACUAGGCAAAAUGGUGCCGUAACUUCGGGAGAAGGCACGCUGGCGUUAGGUGAAAGGACUAGCUCCUGGAGCUGAAGCCAGUCGCAGAUACCAGCUGGCUGCAACUGUUUAAUAAAAACACAGCACUGUGCAAACACGAAAGUGGACGUAUACGGUGUGACGCCUGCCCGGUGCUGGAAGGUUAAUUGAUGGGGUCAGCCGCAAGGCGAAGCUCUUGAUCGAAGCCCCAGUAAACGGCGGCCGUAACUAUAACGGUCCUAAGGUAGCGAAAUUCCUUGUCGGGUAAGUUCCGACCUGCACGAAUGGCGUAAUGAUGGCCAGGCUGUCUCCACCCGAGACUCAGUGAAAUUGAACUCGCUGUGAAGAUGCAGUGUACCCGCGGCAAGACGGAAAGACCCCGUGAACCUUUACUAUAGCUUGACACUGAACAUUGAGCCUUGAUGUGUAGGAUAGGUGGGAGGCCUUGAAGUGUGGACGCCAGUCUGCAUGGAGCCAACCUUGAAAUACCACCCUUUAAUGUUUGAUGUUCUAACUCGGCCCCAUGAUCUGGGGUGAGGACAGUGUCUGGUGGGUAGUUUGACUGGGGCGGUCUCCUCCCAAAGAGUAACGGAGGAGCACGAAGGUUAGCUAAUCACGGUCGGACAUCGUGAGGUUAGUGCAAAGGCAUAAGCUAGCUUGACUGCGAGAGUGACGGCUCGAGCAGGUACGAAAGUAGGUCUUAGUGAUCCGGUGGUUCUGAAUGGAAGGGCCAUCGCUCAACGGAUAAAAGGUACUCCGGGGAUAACAGGCUGAUACCGCCCAAGAGUUCAUAUCGACGGCGGUGUUUGGCACCUCGAUGUCGGCUCAUCACAUCCUGGGGCUGAAGUAGGUCCCAAGGGUAUGGCUGUUCGCCAUUUAAAGUGGUACGCGAGCUGGGUUUAGAACGUCGUGAGACAGUUCGGUCCCUAUCUGCCGUGGGCGUUGGAAGAUUGAGAGGGGCUGCUCCUAGUACGAGAGGACCGGAGUGGACGAAUCACUGGUGUUCGGGUUGUCAUGCCAAUGGCAUUGCCCGGUAGCUAAAUUCGGAAGAGAUAACCGCUGAAAGCAUCUAAGCGGGAAACUUGCCUCGAGAUGAGUCUUCCCUGGGGCUUAAAGCCCCCUGAAGGAACGUUAAAGACUAUGACGUUGAUAGGCUGGGUGUGUAAGUGCAGCGAUGUAUUGAGCUAACCAGUACUAAUGAUCCGUGAGGCUUAACCUU